rnacentral:rRNA from 1 species
AGAGUGAACGCUGGCGGCAGGCCUAAUACAUGCAAGUCGAACGGCAGCACAGCAGAGCUUGCUCUGUGGGUGGCGAGUGGCGGACGGGUGAGGAAUACAUGGGAAUCUGCCCAGUCGUGGGGGAUAACGUAGGGAAACUUACGCUAAUACCGCAUGCGCCCUUCGGGGGAAAGCCGGGGACCUUCGGGCCUGGCGCGAUUGGAUGAGCCCAUGUCGGAUUAGCUAGUUGGCGGGUAACGCCCACCAAGGCGACGAUCCGUAGCUGGUCUGAGAGGAUGAUCAGCCACACUGGAACUGAGACACGGUCCAGACUCCUACGGGAGCAGCAGUAGGGAAUAUUGGACAAUGGGCACAAGCCUGAUCCAGCCAUGCCGCGUGUGUGAAGAAGGCCGUUGGUUAGUAAGACUAACUUUAUACCGGAAAGAAAGACACGUAGGUUAA